rnacentral:lncRNA from 1 species
GAUGUUGCUGAUAAGUUCAAGUACGGGGUGGUGAAGCGAUUUGUUGGGCAUGGAAUCGGCACCAUAUUCCAUUGCGCUCCCUCCAUCCUGCAUUUCCGUAAGGAAGGAGAGUGUCGCAAUCCAGCUCUAACACCGAAGCGUUGGUACCUGGCUUUACAGGAAAUAAUGAACCUGGUCGCAUGCAGAUUGGUCAAACGUUCACGAUUGGUAAGAGUGCUCACGUUGAUCUCGUUUCCCCUCCGACUCUCUUGUUCCAGAGCCAAUGCUGACAAUGGGGAAGCCGGAC